rnacentral:lncRNA from 1 species
UGCACCUCGGGUAUAUAUGAUGGAUCUAGUCUUGAUAAGUUAUACAUCUAUAAGGACCUCUCCAUCAUGACCUGUUGAAAAAUUAGUAAAUUAAUUGAAAUAUUAUCUAGGAAUAUUUGUUAUUAAAAAUAAAAGAACACCUAACAAUUAAAUCAAAUUAAAAAAGUAAAACAAGUAUCAAAAAUAAAGACAAAACCCUAAGUAAUAAUUCAAAAAAGAACACCUAACAACAAAAUCAAAUUGACAAGGUACAAAAACACUGUUGAUGGAAACUAAAUAUAUAUCUUUAUAUCACUAAAAUAAAUUUGAGAAGGAAACAUGGAAAUGGUGAGAGGAGAGGCAACAUCUUAAGCAACCUCAUACAUGAAAAACGCUUAUUGCAUAAUUAAAUCUAAUUUACAUAAAAAUAACAUCCUAAACAAUAUAAUUUAAAAAACUAAAAAGAAAACUUAUCUUUCUCUCUCUUCCCAAGCAUGGAAACACCAUUCAUGGGAACUACUACAUAUAUAUUUCUUGGAUUCACUAAUUAGAGAAGGAAACAUAAAAAAAAUUUACAGGAAGAUAAAGCACAGACGGUUCACAUAACUGAACCGUCUGUGUAAAUGAACCAUUUACAUAGGCGGUUUUCUUACGAUAAUCGCGUGUACUAAGCCUUUUAUACAGGCAGUUUUCAAUUCUGGUCGUACAAAUUUACAACACAGGCGCAUUAUAAUUAAAACCGUCUGUGCAAAUGUUUUACCCCCGCCGGUUUAGAGCAUCUGUGUACUAGUGAAACCUUGUCCAAAACGACUUUCUUUAUGGGUAUGGAGAAAGUAUACAUGAAAUAUUAAAUACAAAUUAUUUAUAAAACUAACGACACAAAUUGAGACUAAUUUUUUAGAUGAUUUUUAAGCCUACUUAGUCUAUAAUUAAUGAGAAAUUAAUCCCUAAUUACUAUAGUACAAAAUAUGCUAAUAACAGAUUAAUUAGAUUUAAUAAAUUCAUCUUGCGGUUUACUGACAAAAUUUGUAAUUUAUUUUUUUAUUGGUAUGAAAAACCCUAUGAGCCACCUAACAUAACAUGCGAUGUAACACCUAUUAAACAAGUGUCCUUCUAUCCAAACAACAAGUAUGGUACAUAUUGAUGUUGUUUUUACUUGAUAUCCCAAGAAAUAUUUCUUACCGACAUUAUCGGCACGUGACUUCCGUAUUCGACACAUGUAUUCACUACGGGACAUCCAUGCUUUGUCGAGUGGCCUAAAAACACUCAACAUAGCCUUUACCGAGUGCCACACUCGGUAAAGACCACAUGGCAAAAUUUCAGCCGGCAAAGCGGUCUUUGCCGAGUGCUAUUUUUCGGACACUCGGCAAAGGCUUUGCCGAGUGUCGACACUCGGCAAAGAUAAAAACGAAAAAAUCCAAAAAAAAAUCCAAAAAAAAUCCGAAAUAAAAGAGAAAAACUUUCCUUCAAACCAAACAACAAGUAUGUACAUAUUGAUGUUGUUUUUACUUGAUAUCCCAAGAAAUAUUUCUUACCGAUAUUAUCGGCACGUGACUUCCGUAUUCGACACAUGUAUUCACUACGGGACAUCCAUGCUUUGUCGAGUGUCUAUGGCACUCGGCAAAGCCUUUGCCGAGUGCCACACUCGGUAAAGACCACACGGCAAAAUUUCAGCCGGCAAAGCGGUCUUUGCCGAGUGCUAUUUUUCGGGCACUCGGCAAAGGCUUUGUCGAGUGUCGACACUCGGCAAAGAUAAAAACGAAAAAAUCCAAAAAAAAUCCAAAAAAAUCCGAAACAAAAGAGAAAAAAAUCUUUUUUUAGAGGCCAACGCCCACCAGCCUCUUCUUGUCUUAGCCCCAACAUCGGUUUUUUUUGCGUCUUUGCGGUCUAUGGGAUUCGAACUCGUGACCUAUCGCUCGCGUGUCCCCACUCUUAACCACUGCACCACACUAUGACUUGUGCUUAUAUUGCAUUUCCUCAAAUAUUAUACCAAAUUAUAUGUAAAAUGAUUAUUUAAGGUCCUAAAUGAUUUCAAAUCAAAAAGUUGUCAACUACAAAGUUUCAUAACUUUUUAGGAUAUACAAUUUUUAUUUAGGGAGUUUCUCCAUCCGAGGUCGUUUACAAAUUUUAAAUUUUAAAUUUAAGAAAUUCAAACGUAGUUUUUGCAUGAUAAGAUGAUUCCAAAACAAAAGGUUGUCAACUAUAAAGUUUCAUAACUUUUUGAGAUCUACAAAGUUUAUUUAGAGAUCUUUUCCAUCCGAGGUUGUUUAAAAAUUCAAAAUUUAAAAUUUUCAAUUAAAAACGCGGUUUUGCAUGACAAGAUGAACUCAAAUGAAAAAGUUGUCAAAUACAAAAUUUCAUAACUUCUCA